rnacentral:rRNA from 1 species
UGUCCUACGGGGGGCAGCAGUCGAGAAUCAUUCACAAUGGGGGAAACCCUGAUGGUGCGACGCCGCGUGGGGGAAUGAAGGUCUUCGGAUUGUAAAACCCUGUUGUUAGAGAAGAAAGUGCGUGAGAGUAACUGUUCACGUUUCGACGGUAUCUAACCAGAAAGCCACGGCUAACUACGUGCCAGCAGCCGCGGUAAUACGUAGGUGACAAGCGUUGUCCGGAUUUACUGGGUGUAAAGGGCGCGUAGGCGGGAUAGCAAGUCAGUCGUGAAAUGCCGAGGCUUAACCUCGGAGCUGCGAUUGAA